UGAGCAAUCUGAAGGAGGCUGGAGAACAACUCCAGUAGUCUAGAGAACAUGACCAUAUGAUCAGAACCUUUAAUCACCUUGACUUCAUCCGGUGGAUUUUUGGUGAUCAUCUGUAAGACUAAAUUGGACUUUAUCAUUAGUUUACAUCUAGUAUCGACAACUUACCAAUAUAUAUGCAGAACAAGUAAUUGGAGAAUUAUGAGAUUUUAAUCCGGAAUGCUUUAUUUACGGUAUAUUAGAGUAAAUAAAGGAGGAAUCUAAUAUGACUUGAUUUGUCAAGUUUGUCUAAUAAGGUAUGCAACUAUAAUUAGGGCUUUGGACUUAAAAUGUUACCUUUAUGGGAGGUUACAGAAUAUCUAAUUCUCUAUAAAAGCUUAGGUCUAUGCACUCUCUCAUUGUCUUGAAAAUACGGUUCUUGCCCCAUUCAAAAAAUACUACAAUGAGAUGCAGUGUAGAAGACUUAGGCCGGAUCGAGUGGCCAUCAAGUCUAAAAGGUUCAUGAUCCAUUUAUCGUUUACUUUUCGUUCUUACUUUUAUACAAUUGUAUCUAUAUUAAGCGAUCUAAUGACUUUUAAGUUUAAGGUUACAUUUGGUAUCAGAGCCACCUUCACAGAAAUAUAGAUCGUUGUGUUUUGAUCGUUUCUAAUGCAAUAGUGUUUCUUUUGAUGCGAGAAAAAUCAAAAUCGGGUUCUACUCGGUCACUGGGAAGGAACGAAGGAAGAGGGAACCAAAAGUUUAAAGAAAGUCCAAAAGUCUCAAUCUUGUACUUCGGUAUAUUGCUCCGUAAUUAUGGCAUUGGGAUUUUGCAAAAACUCUUGCAGUUUUGCAUAUAGUUUUUUCCAGAUUUGGCCACAUAUAUUGAAGAUUUGCUUAGCCAAUAAACAAGCCGAUGGUUCCCUUGAAAUCUACUAAAGCGGGAGUAAGCAACUCCAGAUAAGAAUUUUUCAUUCUGAUUUCCUUUCAAGUUCAGUUUAUUUUUAGUACUUGAUUAGUGAUUACAACCACAUUACAUUGGAAUCUAACCUUUUGUGAAAUCAUAAAUACAAGGCACAAAUACAGGUUUCGAACUUUGGUUGCCCAAUGGAAGUCUCAACGCCUCAGCCAUGUUAAGAGUAUAAGGGUAGUUCGGUCAUUUGUUUAGAAUCCCUACCCUAUAAAAGCUAUGAGAUGUACACUGUUCAUUAUUGACAAGCAAUACAAGAUGUAGUCUCCAAAUUCUCUUCUGCGUUUUACAUUUUCUACUUUGUUCUUUUAGUUUUCAAUAAUCCAUGGUUUCCUAGCAUGGUAUCAGAGCCUUGGUUUUGAUCCAGGGAAGCUUCGACGCCAUUUGUAGCCUUAUCUUCUUCUCUAAGCUUUCUCUCUAGCUUUUAUGGUAUCAGAGCAAUUGAAGAAAAAUAUGCAAUUUUCAGAUUUGGAUUUUUAGUUAUUCAUCUUUGCUGCUAUGUGUUGCCGAUGAUGCAUUCCAUAUUGCUGCUCUACAGCCCAUGUGAUCUGUGAAAUUUUUCAGCAAGCUCUCUUCUCCUCCUUUGAUAGCCGAAUGUCAAGAUGGAUGCUCUUCUGAUAUCAAGUAUAGUUGGGUUUUUGAUUUGGGUUAAUAGUUUUGUAAUAGAUUCUACAUCUGUAUUUUUUUUAGUUGUUUGCAUUGUGCCAACCAUUAUACUUAGCCAAGCAUAUGGUUGAGGGAGGGUGUUAAGAGUAUAAGGGUAGUUCGGUCAUUUGUUUAGAAUCCCUACCCUAUAAAAGGUAUGAGAUGUACACUGUUCAUUAUUAACAAGCAAUACAAGAUGUAGUCUCCAAAUUCUCUUAUGCGUUUUACAUUUUCUGCUUUGUUCUUUUAGUUUUCAAUAAUCCAUGGUUUCCUAGCAAGCCAUCCACUCUAUGAUGCUAUUGAUCGAAAAUUCUGUGGCAUUGAAAAUUCAGUUUCCAGGUUUUAGGCAUAAGCUAGCUUUGGACACUCAUGCAACCAUUUUGGUUCCCAUGUUGAAUGUGAUAAUAAGAAUAAUAGCGUAAGUUAUUGUAAUUCCAAUUGAUUUUGGAAUAGGCAUAAGGGGAUCUCCAAGUUAGCUUAGUUAUGAACUUAUGAUUGCUGCAUUUGCAAUGAACAUUAUUAUUUCCUUCUAAUGGAGACACAUGUUCAAAUGCAUAUAAAUCCUAUGGUCUUAUUGAGAUUACAUGAUAACUGAGAUUUACAUGCAUAAUACUAGGUUGACAUAUCUUUAUCAUGGCAGGAUAUUAUAUAUACAGUUUUGUCGUUUCGUGGAGACAUGCAUGCUCGAAUUGCAUAAUGAGUGAUAAAGAACUUAAUAAUUUUAUUUGUUGGAUUUGGUUAAAUUCUAGGACCUGAACAAAUUGUCAAUUGAAAUUGGGAACUUGAAUCUGAAAGAUAUUUGACACAUUGACAUGUGUUUUUAUUUAUUUAUUUUCCUUCUAGAAUUAUAAGUUCAUCAUGUUUUUAAGAAGGAUCACUGUGGUACUUGCAAUCCGUUAUAUAUAUUUUUGUGUGCAGGAGUGAACUAUAUAUCUUUUGGUUAAUGUAUAGUUACAUGAUAAAAUUUGUAUGUCAGGCUUCUAUUCUACAUAUAUAAGGAACUUUUAGAUCUCUCUUACUUUCCUUCAUAGGAACUUGAGAAUUAUUUUACAUGUUAUACUGCAAAAUGAAGAAACCAUGCUUCUUGAUCAAACCGAUGAGGAUAUUUUAUGACCAUCAUUAUGCCAUUAAAGCAUAUUAUUAUUAUUUGCAUUAUAAGACUAUAACAGGCUUCUACAGAUUACUCUGUAUAUUGUUUGGUCAAAAUAUCAUAUUGAGUUUUGUGACAAAUGAAAUUGCAAUGGUGAGGAAAUACUUUAAUUUUGUUGACACGCUAUGACUGCUUAACAGGUACAUAUACUAUAUAUCGUAACAAAGUAUAUAUAUUACGAUUUCCAGGGUUAUGAUAAUGUGGUCCAACUUUAGUACAUAUAGAGCAAAUAGUUAUGCAAUGUCUGCUCUAACACAUGCAUCUUAUAGAAUUGUUAAUUUUGGACUAUCAUUGUCAUUGUUGCAGUUGAUCAAGAUGCAGAUUACAAAGUCUUGGUAAGAAACAAGAUUAUUGAAGUGUGAUGCAAUCUAUGGUUGUAUUGUGCUACUUAGUGGGUAUUUAUAUAUUUUUACUAAUGGAAACGUAAAGACAUGUCAUUAAUCAUAAUAGGCUGGAUUCCUUUCAAAUGUGAUGCAUUGAGUGUUGAUUUAUAUGCAUAUAGUUAUGCAUAUAUCUUAUACGUAAAGACAUGAACAUGUUAUUUAUUAUUGUUGAAGGAAAGGAAAAUAGUGUUAGCUUUGAUCAAGCUGUGUGACAUGUACAGCUACUAGACUUCACAUGAUUGUCAGCUGAAACUAAAACCUUGUUUUGUAUCUCUUAUGGACUUAUGGUAUUGACUGUCCAUCAGGUUACGAUUGUUAUUUUUAAAGAUGUUAUAUUUUUGAUCGCAUGUAAGGACUUGUUUUUUGAGGAAAAUGAGCAUUGACCAAUUUGGUUAAAGUUCAUAUCAUUGUUAUGAAAAGUGGCUAGGAAUGCACUGGUAACAGAAGGUAAGACAUGCCUUAGAUGUUUCAAAAAUUAAUAAAGUUGUAUUGAGAUUAUUUCGUUCUCGUCUGAUAGUACAUAUAAUUGUUUGAUUACAGAUGUGUUUUAGUUGCCAUAUAUAAUCAUAUCAAAACUACUUCCUUUAAUAUGUACUAGUUUGUAGAUAUGCAUACAAUAUAAUAUAAAAUUACUAGAAAUGCAUAUGUUGGGAUUUACUUCCAAUGAUUCUUGAUAAAUGUUGGCCCAUGAAGCUAUUUCUAGAGCAAUGGAAAUACAUGCUUUUGGUAUAACCUGUUAUUGGUCCUACUUGAUUAUUUUGAUUUUGGUUUUGGGUAUUGGAACAAGCUAAAUCAGCAUAAUGUAUGUAAAAGAGCCUUUGUCUUAAGAUACUUGCUUUUUAAUGACAGAAAUAAAUUACAUGUCAAUUUUUUGCUCAUGACCUAAUUGAGCUUCAUUGACAUGAUGAUUGUAUGGGCAAUCAAGUAAAGAGUUAAAGGGAUAUAUUUGUGAUAUAUCUAUGCUAUAAUGGUUUUAUACAGAAACAGAAGAAAUGUAUGAAUAAAGGUAUGUCAUAUUUGAUUUCCGCUGUGCAAUAAAUCAAGUUAGCAUAAAGUGUUAGUGUCUGAUUUCAAUUUUUAUCUUACAAAGAAGAACUUGAACAAAUUAACAAUGUCUUGUUAUUCAAUUUUCUCAUAAGUGAUAUAUUUCAAAAAAUAAUUGUAUUUUUAACAUAGUUGUAUUUUGUAGCUACUAAAUAAUCUUAUGAGAAAUCAGGCUACAAAUAUUGCUUGGAUGCUAUACGAGUUAUAUCUAUGCAUCUGUUGCUAAUUUGAUUUGACACAACUAAGGUACAUUUUCAAGAACUCUUGAAAAACUUUUUACAAUUGAUUAUCAAGUGAUGCUAAAAAUGUAUCAGGGACGUAUAUGAAUUUAAUUAAAGCAUGUUGCCUUGGUAUUUUAGAUAAGGAUAUUAUGUGAUGAUCAUAUGUCAAUGAUUAUAGUGAUAUGUUACCUCAACACUUUUAUAUGAUCUGGAAUAUCUUGCAUAUGUUGAUAAUCAUUGUGUAUUUGUUGUUACAAAUUGCUUGUGUAAAAUUUAGUUAACAAGAUAAAAGAUGUCUCCCAAAAUGAGUCUUGUUAAAUUUUCAAUUAAAUUUUACAAUGUGCUCUGAUGAACUACAAGAACCAACUUUGGUCUUAGAUCCUUGGGGCGUCUUAGUGGUACAUGUUGCACAAAGCAAACCGCCACUAAGAUAUCUCAUUGAUUAUAAAAGUUAUAAGAUCAAGAAACUUGUGUUGUGCAUAUUAAUUUCAUGAUUGUAUUUCUCAAAAGAGGUUUAAACCUUACAUGGAUUUAACUUGCUUAUACAGCACAUCACAAAAUUGAUGGAAAUGCAUUUGGUUUGCCUAGAUCUUUUCUUCUUGCCAUACAGGUGUUGACUGAUCUUAGCAAAAUAGCAUUUUUGUCCUUUUUGGUUUUGUGAAUAGGAAACUUCGGAAUGUCAUGUCUUCUUGCCACAAAGGUGUUGCUUGACAUUGUCUAAAAGGGCUUAUUCCAGUACAUCUUGGUUGAUGUGAUCACUCUAUUUCUAUUUUGUUUGCUAAGUCAUUUGUUAUUUUCUCAUUGCCUGUGAGACAUAGCAAACUGCAUUCCAAGGAUGAAAAGGAAAUCAGAAUGGAUGUUAAGUGGUAUGUUUUAAGUUCAACAUACCAUAGCAAAUUUUGUAAGUACUUAAAGCAUUAAUCUCUUUGUUUUUAAAUCAUUCACAUGUUUGAUGUGAAGCUAAGUGGUAUUCAUUAUAUCUGGUACCAAAACAGCAUAUCUGGUACCAAAACAGCGUGUUUCUCUUAUUGCAGACUUUUGGUCAUUUCAAGAGAAGCAUAUAAUACAUACAUAUGCAUAUACGAAUCAUUUUGUCAACUAUCAUUAUAUCAUAUUGCAUGCCAUUGUUAACUAUGCCAUUGAUAAAGAACAAUUUUUUUUUUCUUUUAAUUGGGGAAAGUAUAUGACAUUUACAUCUGAGUAGUUACUAUAAAAGUAUUAUGUGUUUUAUAACUGAUUUUUACUAAAUUAUGGUUUCCCUAUUUUCCAUUGUCAUAUGACGGAUCAUAUUUGUUAAAGGGACAAUGAGAGUCUAUCUUCUAUUGUCAUAUGGAUGAUCAUAUUUGUUACAGGAUAGUGAGAGUAAGGUUUCACUUUCAGAAGCUAACUUUUAAGAGAACAUGAUAUUCUGGAUAUUUUCUUUAACAACCUAUACAGUUUUCAAAUCUUACAGAUUUUGGAUAUGAAUGAAUCAUGAAAUGUGUGAUGUGUUUAGUAAUUCAUUUUACACUGAAGAAAAAUGGUUUUAAUGCAUGUUCUUGAAAGGAGGUUCUGAAUUCCUUGGUUUGGUGGGAGUAUUAGUUUCUUUCUCAUUGAUAUAGAGUUCCUCUCUUACAUUUGUUUGUUCAGUUGUUGUUUUCAUGAAAGUGCGUUAUCAGAUAUUUGAUUAAAUUAUUUCUGUGGACUUAUGCCAAAAGGAUUUAGUUGUUAAGCAUGUAUAGAAUAAUGUGUGUAUGUUGUCAUUGAAUUUUCAAGGCAAUAUUAAGGUUAGAAUUCUCUUAAGGACAAUUCAUAACCUUAGUAGGAGUUAUUGACUUGUAUUGAUUGAUGAUUAAUUUGGCUUCGAGAUAUAUGCUUUAUGAUGAAGUUUUCUACUAAGGAUUUCCUGAUUAGAAUUUAAUGGUAUUAUGUUUAUAUCUUGCUGUAGCAAUAUCAUUGUCGACGAAAGCAUUAUGUGCUUUGAAUAUAAAUAGCUAUUUGAUUUUGGUUGUGCUCAUAUUGUAGAGACAACAUAUGGCAUCUGUCAAGAUGGAAAGGAACACGUAAAGUUGAGUUUCGUUGGAAGCUUGUGUUUCCUUGAGGUUUUAUCAUUAAAAACCAUUUGGAGGACCAAAGUACAAGGCAUAAAGUUUUGAUAUACAUAGAGGCUUUUGUACACUACAGACAUAUCUUUUGUUUGGUAACUCAUGUGGAUCACAGUUGCACCAUUAGUAGUUAUGAAGGUCUUGUGUUCUGUUGAACAUAAGCUCCUUCUUAGCUCUAUCUUGUAGUUGUUUUUUGACAGUGUUUUGAAUUAGAUUUUAAAGCAUCAUGAUUCUCUUGUGCGCACUAAAGAAUUGAUUACUACAUCUGAUUACAGUGGUAUUCUUGUUGAGUAAACUUAUGAUAGUCCAAGUGGGAGAAUGUAAGACUAAAUUGGACUUUAUCAUUAGUUUACAUCUAGUAUCGACAACUUACCAAUAUAUGCAGAACAAGUAAUUGGAGAAUUAUGAGAUUUUAAUCCGGAAUGCUUUAUUUACGGUAUAUCAGAGUAAAUAAAGGAGGAAUCUAAUAUGACUUGAUUUGUCAAGUUUGUCUAAUAAGGUAUGCAACUAUAAUUAGGGAUUUGGACUUAAAAUGUUACCUUUAUGGGAGGUUACAGAAUAUCUAAUUCUCUAUAAAAGCUUAGGUCCCUGCACUCUCUCAUUGUCUUGAAAAUACGGUUCUUGCCCCAUUCAAAGAAUACUACAAUGAGAUGCAGUGCAGAAGACUUAGGCCGGAUCGAGUGGCCAUCAAGUCUAAAAGGUUCAUGAUCCAUUUAUCGUUUACUUUUCGUUCUUACUUUUAUACAAUUGUAUCUAUAUUAUUUGUGAAGCGAUCUAAUGACUUUUAAGUUUAAGGUUACAUCAUUAACAAUUGCAGAUCCAUUGAAGGGUCUUGCUCGGUCAUGAUGAACACUUUAGGAACCGAUCCGUAUUUCUCCAUAGUCAAUACUAGUUCUUCAUGAAAUAUUGGCGCCCAUCUUACUAAUGUCAAUGCUAGU
rnacentral:lncRNA from 1 species